rnacentral:rRNA from 1 species
CACGCCCUAAACGAUGCGAACUAGGUGUUGGGGAAGGAGACUUCUUUAGUACCGUAGCUAACGCGUGAAGUUCGCCGCCUGGGGAGUACGGUCGCAAGAUUAAAACUCAAAGGAAUUGACGGGGACCCGCACAAGCGGUGGAUGAUGUGGUUUAAUUCGAUGCAACGCGAAAAACCUUACCCACCUUUGACAUGUACGGAAUCCUUUAGAGAUAGAGGAGUGCUCGAAAGAGAGCCGUAACACAGGUGC